UCUGGGAUCGGCUGCCAGAAACUCACAGUAGCCAGAAAUCUCUUCAGCAGGAUUCCUGGACUCUCUGGGCUUCCCCGCCCCCCCCAUCAGUGGGCUCCGGGAUCCGUUCCCAGCCUUGCACUUGGUCCCUGCCCCUCUCGGCAACCGCAACUUUUUGUCUGAUCUUGCACUGGGAUUUCAGUCUGGGCCAAGGCAUCACUGGCCUCUGGGAGCUGGGGUACAGUCUGACUUCCCUCCUAAGUCCCUCCUAGUGGCCCCCCUGACUUCCAGGGAUGGAAAUGCCAAGGGGAUGGUUUGAGAAAAACCUGGGAGGACUUCCACGGAUUGAUGUAAAGGAAGAAAAAAGAGCAUCGGAUCCAUGCUAGCAGGCUAAAUGUUCCCAGUUCCUUCUGCUGAUUCUCAUAAAGCAGGAACAUGAGGCGCCCUUCAGUGCCCAGGUCACCUUCCUCUGAAUGCUCUCCAUCUGAGUGAUGCCUUUCCUAAAACACAGCACCCAGAACUGAACACAAGAUGUGGGCUAAGCAGGACAGAGGACAGAGGCACUCCCCCUUCCUUACUCCAGCACCGUGAGACCUAUUAGCUUUGUGUCUGACAUUUCAGAGGACUCACACGUUGCUUUCCACUGAAACCUAAAGCAUGACAGCUAAGGAGGUCACCGAGGCAGAAGGGAAGAAAGCCUGAGACAAAGCAUUGCAGUUGGGGGGGGGGUGUCCCCUGCUUACAAGAUGAUCCAGCAAAGAAGAAUGAGGAGUAGUCAGACAGGUAGGAGGAUGACCAGGAAAUAACAUUGUCAUGGAACCCAAGGAUGGAGAAAAUGCCCAAGUGGUCAACAGAAUUGAAAAAAAAAACCUGCAGAGAGGUUGGGGUGGGGGAGUGAUGAGAAAAGGCCACAUGAAAGAGCUAUGAAGAGGCCAUCGUUAACGUUGGAGAGAGCAGAUUCAGUCAACUGGUAGGCUGGCGCCAUGCACAGAGAACCCACCCACCCAGAAAGAGGAGACCUGGCAGAGUUGGCAGCAGACCCAGAAAAGGCAUUGGGAGAUGAACUGAUUUCAUUUUCUGAGGGAGGCUUAGGGCUUCCUUCCGGCAGAGUUCUUGGAAAAGCUGCAUCCUGGUCCCUUCCCAGAAGGCAACUUCUCUGAAGCUUGGGGUGGGGACUCACCUGAGAAGUCUCCAGGGUCUGCCAGACAAUGCGCUAAAGGGAAUCAUUCUCUGAGGAGGGAAUCCGAGGACAGAGCAUCAGAUCCCAGGAAAGAGCCGGCGGAGCUUCUGACGGGCACAGACUGGAAUCAAUCCAACUCACUGUAAGGCUUUCUCUCCAGAGGUGCAAGACUAUGGAUGUGCAAAACUGCAUGGAACAUUGGGUCUUUGGGGGUAUCUAGAUUAGUUUUGCUAACUUGUUUCCUUUUCCUUCUUUUUUAUGCUUCAUUAUAAGGAAUGGCUGUUGGGGGCGGGGACACAUUGGGAAACACAAUUGAUGUAAAAAU